AUUGAACGCUGGCGGCAUGCUUUACACAUGCAAGUCGAACGGUAACAGGCCGCAAGGUGCUGACGAGUGGCGAACGGGUGAGUAAUGCAUCGGAACGUGCCCAGUCGUGGGGGAUAACGCAGCGAAAGCUGUGCUAAUACCGCAUACGAUCUAUGGAUGAAAGCGGGGGACCGUAAGGCCUCGCGCGAUUGGAGCGGCCGAUGUCAGAUUAGGUAGUUGGGGGGGGAAAGGCUCACCAAGCCAACGAUCUGUAGCUGGCCUUAGAGGACGACCAGCCGCACUGGGACUGAGACACAGCCCAGACUCCUCCGGGAGGCAGCAGUGGGGAAUUUUGGACAAUGGGCGCAAGCCUGAUCCAGCAAUGCCGCGUGCAGGAAGAAGGCAUUCGGGUUGUAAGCUGCUUUUGUACGGAACGAAACGGCGAGCUCUAAAACAGUUUGCUAAUGACGGUACCGUAAGAAUAAGCACCGGCUAACUACGUGCCAGCAGCCGCGGUAA
rnacentral:rRNA from 1 species